UACGUAGGGUGCGAGCGUUGUCCGGAAUUAUUGGGCGUAAAGGGCUCGUAGGCGGUUUGUCGCGUCGGGAGUGAAAACGCCGUGCUUAACACGGCGCUUGCUUUCGAUACGGGCAGACUAGAGGUAUGCAGGGGAGAACGGAAUUCCUGGUGUAGCGGUGAAAUGCGCAGAUAUCAGGAGGAACACCGGUGGCGAAGGCGGCUCUCUGGGACGGUACUGACGCUGAGACGCGAAAGCGUGGGGAGCGAACAGG
rnacentral:rRNA from 1 species